rnacentral:rRNA from 1 species
CCCUUAGAUGUUCUGGGCCGCACGCGCGCUACACUGAACAGUUCAACAAGUCUUAACCUUGGCCGAUAGGUCUGGGUAAUCUUUGAACGCUGUUCGUGAUUGGGAUAGACCUUUGCAAUUAUGGGUCUUCAACGAGGAAUUCCUAGUAAACGCAAGUCAUCAGCUUGCAUUGAUUGCGUCCCUGCCCUUUGUACACACCGCCCGUCGCACCUACCGAUUGAAUGGUCCGGUGAAAUCUCGGGACGGCGGCUUGGUCGCUUGCGUCCGACUGCUGAAACUUGAUUAAACCAUAUCAUUUAGAGGAAGGUGAAGUCGUAACA